CCAGACUCCUACGGGAGGCAGCAGUGGGGAAUAUUGCACAAUGGGCGCAAGCCUGAUGCAGCGACGCCGCGUGGGGGAUGACGGCCUUCGGGUUGUAAACUCCUUUCGCUAGGGACGAAGCUUUUUGUGACGGUACCUAGAUAAGAAGCACCGGCUAACUACGUGCCAGCAGCCGCGGUAAUACGUAGGGUGCGAGCGUUGUCCGGAAUUACUGGGCGUAAAGGGCUCGUAGGUGGUUUGUCGCGUCGUCUGUGAAAUUCCGGGGCUUAACUCCGGGCGUGCAGGCGAUACGGGCAUAACUUGAGUGCUGUAGGGGUAACUGGAAUUCCUGGUGUAGCGGUGAAAUGCGCAGAUAUCAGGAGGAACACCGAUGGCGAAGGCAGGUUACUGGGCAGUUACUGACGCUGAGGAGCGAAAGCAUGGGUAGCGAACAGGAUUAGAUACCCUGGUAGUCCAUGCCGUAAACGGUGGGCGCUAGGUGUGAGGGUCUUUUCACGACUUUCGUGCCGUAGCUAACGCAUUAAGCGCCCCGCCUGGGGAGUACGGCCGCAAGGCUAAAACUCAAAGGAAUUGACGGGGGCCCGCACAAG
rnacentral:rRNA from 1 species